rnacentral:rRNA from 1 species
GCUCAGAUUGAACGCUGGCGGCAGGCCUAACACAUGCAAGUCGAGCGGAUGACGGGAGCUUGCUCCUUGAUUCAGCGGCGGACGGGUGAGUAAUGCCUAGGAAUCUGCCUGGUAGUGGGGGACAACGUUUCGAAAGGAACGCUAAUACCGCAUACGUCCUACGGGAGAAAGCAGGGGACCUUCGGGCCUUGCGCUAUCAGAUGAGCCUAGGUCGGAUUAGCUAGUAGGUGAGGUAAUGGCUCACCUAGGCGACGAUCCGUAACUGGUCUGAGAGGAUGAUCAGUCACACUGGAACUGAGACACGGUCCAGACUCCUACGGGAGGCAGCAGUGGGGAAUAUUGGACAAUGGGCGAAAGCCUGAUCCAGCCAUGCCGCGUGUGUGAAGAAGGUCUUCGGAUUGUAAAGCACUUUAAGUUGGGAGGAAGGGCAGUAAGUUAAUACCUUGCUGUUUUGACGUUACCGACAGAAUAAGCACCGGCUAACUCUGUGCCAGCAGCCGCGGUAAUACAGAGGGUGCAAGCGUUAAUCGGAAUUACUGGGCGUAAAGCGCGCGUAGGUGGUUCGUUAAGUUGGAUGUGAAAGCCCCGGGCUCAACCUGGGAACUGCAUCCAAAACUGGCGAGCUAGAGUAUGGUAGAGGGUGGUGGAAUUUCCUGUGUAGCGGUGAAAUGCGUAGAUAUAGGAAGGAACACCAGUGGCGAAGGCGACCACCUGGACUGAUACUGACACU